AUUGAACGCUGGCGGCAUGCCUUACACAUGCAAGUCGAACGGUAACAGGUCUUCGGAUGCUGACGAGUGGCGAACGGGUGAGUAAUACAUCGGAACGUGCCCGAUCGUGGGGGAUAACGCAGCGAAAGCUGUGCUAAUACCGCAUACGAUCUACGGAUGACAGCGGGGGAUCGCAAGACCUCGCGCGGACGGAGCGGCCGAUGGCAGAUUAGGUAGUUGGUGGGAUAAAAGCUUACCAAGCCGACGAUCUGUAGCUGGUCUGAGAGGACGACCAGCCACACUGGGACUGAGACACGGCCCAGACUCCUACGGGAGGCAGCAGUGGGGAAUUUUGGACAAUGGGCGCAAGCCUGAUCCAGCCAUGCCGCGUGCAGGAUGAAGGCCUUCGGGUUGUAAACUGCUUUUGUACGGAACGAAAAAGCUCUCUCUAAUACAGGGGGUGAAUGACGGUACCGUAAGAAUAAGCACCGGCUAACUACGUG
rnacentral:rRNA from 1 species